rnacentral:rRNA from 1 species
UCCUCCCUCUGGCGGCGUGCCUAAUACAUGCAAGUAGAACGCUGAAGGAGGAGCUUGCUUCUCCGGAUGAGUUGCGAACGGGUGAGUAACGCGUAGGUAACCUGCCUGGUAGCGGGGGAUAACUAUUGGAAACGAUAGCUAAUACCGCAUAACAGUAGAUGUUGCAUGACAUUUGCUUAAAAGGUGCAAUUGCAUCACUACCAGAUGGACCUGCGUUGUAUUAGCUAGUUGGUGAGGUAACGGCUCACCAAGGCGACGAUACAUAGCCGACCUGAGAGGGGGAUCGGCCACACUGGGACUGAGACACGGCCCAGACUCCUACGGGAGGCAGCAGUAGGGAAUCUUCGGCAAUGGACGGAAGUCUGACCGAGCAACGCCGCGUGAGUGAAGAAGGUUUUCGGAUCGUAAAGCUCUGUUGUAAGAGAAGAACGAGUGUGAGAGUGGAAAGUUCACACUGUGACGGUAGCUUACCAGAAAGGGACGGCUAACUACGUG